rnacentral:rRNA from 1 species
CACGCCGUAAACGUUGAGAACUAAGUGUUGGGGAGACCCAGUGCUGAAGCUAACGCAUUAAGUUCUCCGCCUGAGGAGUACGCACGCAAGUGUAAAACUUAAAGGAAUUGACGGGGGCCCGCACAAGCAGUGGAGCAUGUGGUUUAAUUCGUGGCUACGCGAAGAACCUUACCAGGGCUUGACAGGAAACUUAAGACCCUAGAGAUAGGGGGAUAAUAAGUGAAACAGGUGG